rnacentral:rRNA from 1 species
UUAAUCAAGAACGAAAGUUAGAGGUUCGAAGGCGAUCAGAUACCGCCCUAGUUCUAACCGUAAACUAUGCCUACUAGAUGUAUGAAUUAUUAGUUAUAAUAAUUUAUGCAUCUUCUCGGAAACGAAAGUCUUUCGGUUCCGGGGGAAGUAUGGUUGCAAAGCUGAAACUUAAAGGAAUUGACGGAAGGGCACCACCAGGAGUGGAGCCUGCGGCUUAAUUUGACUCAACACGGGAAAACUCACCCGGGCCGGACACUAUAAGGAUUGACAGAUUGAUAGCUCUUUCAUGAUUUAGUGGUUGGUGGUGCAUGGCCGUUCUUAGUUCGUGGAUAUGAUUUGUCUGGUUGAUUCCGAUAACGAGCGAGACUUUUAUGUUAUAUUAAAUAUUAUUAUUUUGUUUAUUUUAAUAUAAAUAAUUAAUAUUUUAAUAACAGAUUAAUAGUGUUUAACUAUUUGAGAGAGAGCGAUAACAGGUCUGUGAUGCCCUUAGAUGUCCGGGGCUGCACGCGCGCUACAAUGUAGUGAUCAUUAUGUUCCUGUUUAGAGAUAAAUGGGUAAACAUUGAAAACAUUACGUAACUGGGAGUGAAAAUUGCAAUUAUUUUUCAUGA